GAUCAUUGCACACACAAAGUUGUAGCCAACCUUGCGAGCGAACGUCGUGAUUGUCCCCUUGGCCGGUUUCGCGCGGGGGUGGAGCGGGCAGCUGGUCGCUGCGUCGCGGAGCCGGCCAACCCCCAGGGAGUUUCCUGGGGGCAAAAACGCAAUGCAUCAACAAUUUGGAUAAUGACUGAGUAUGAAAAAGCGAGGAGUGUGUGGGCGCCGCUUGAGCGCCCAUCACGAGUUGUGGAAUAUGGAAAGCAAAAAAACAACUCUCAGCAACGGAUAUCUUGGCUCUUGCAACGAUGAAGAACGCAGCGAAAUGCGAUACGUAGUGUGAAUUGCAGAAUUCCGCGAAUCAUCGAGUCUUUGAACGCAAGUUGCGCCCGAGGCUUGACCAAGGGCAUCCCUGCCAGAGCGUCGCCGCGACACCCACCGAUCCGCUCCCAGCUAGCUCUGGGAGUGCGACCGAGUGAAGCUGGGCCAUCCGAAUGGGGGCCACACCACCCGGGACUUCGUGUGCCCUUGGGGGUGGGGUGGCGGAUUGGGUUGGCUGAAAUGGAGGCAAUUUGGCCGCCGUGGUGACACAGCCCGCGAUCAGGUGAUCCGGGUCUCAUCUUGGAACUACUUCUAGGUGUGGUGCUGUGUCUCCCAGUUGGUACGAUGAGGAUGGAUUCCAAAGCAGGUCCCGGACUCCCCCCGCUGCGCCCCCGCUCCCUGCCUUGCGCUCGGAGGGAGGGAGGAGAGGAGGGGAGUGUCCCGAGGUGUAACGUCACGCAUCAGACCUCUGAUCAGGGAAG
rnacentral:rRNA from 1 species